rnacentral:rRNA from 1 species
UACGUAGGUGGCAAGCGUUGUCCGGAUUUACUGGGCGUAAAGCGUAUGCAGGCGGAUCUUUAAGUAGAAAGUGAAAGGUUGGGGGCUUAACUCCAACACUGCUCUCUAUACUGGAGGUCUUGAGUGCCGGAGAGGAAGAUGGAACUGCACGUGUAGCGGUGAAAUGCGUUGAGAUGUGCAGGAACACCAAUGGCGAAAGCAAUCUUCUGGACGGAUACUGACGCUGAGAUACGAAAGCCAAGGGAGCGAACAGG